rnacentral:rRNA from 1 species
GAUGAACGCUGGCGGCGUGCCUAAUACAUGCAAGUCGAGCGAACGGACGAGAAGCUUGCUUUUCUGAUGUUAGCGGCGGACGGGUGAGUAACACGUGGAUAACCUACCUAUAAGACUGGGAUAACUUCGGGAAACCGGAGCUAAUACCGGAUAAUAUUUUGAACCGCAUGGUUCAAAAGUGAAAGACGGUCUUGCUGUCACUUAUAGAUGGAUCCGCGCUGCAUUAGCUAGUUGGUAAGGUAACGGCUUACCAGGGCAACGAUGCAUAGCCGACCUGAGAGGGUGAUCGGCCACACUGGAGCUGAGACACGGUCCAGACUCCUACGGGAGGCAGCAGUAGGGAAUCUUCCGCAAUGGGCGAAAGCCUGACGGAGCAACGCCGCGUGAGUGAUGAAGGUCUUCGGAUCGUAAAACUCUGUUAUUAGGGAAGAACAUAUGUGUAAGUAACUGUGCACAUCUUGACGGUACCUAAUCAGAAAGCCACGGCUAACUACGUG